UCUACAAAUAAACAAUUUUACACCAUCGCUUCAUUCUCAUAGCCUCAUGAUGGCAGGGAUGUCUGAGAACAGCUGAAAGUGGGGCAAGAAAAGCAACAUCUUGCGAGGUUUUGACCAGCUUGUUUAAUUAUGAUGAUUUGGGGGUACCUGCAUUAUUGCACAAGAUCACCAUUUCUGCUGCCAAGGUGUCAUUUCAGAACCCAUCACAUAAAUAGG